CAAUAGCGUAUAUUAACGUUGUUGCAGUUAAAAAGCUCGUAGUUGGAUUUCUGGAGGGAGCGUCGGCCCGUAUUUACGAGUGCGUGACGUCUCUGUCCAUCCUUGCGGGAAGGCACGGCAUUGAUUUGUUGUGUCGGAUCGCAUCAUUUACUGUGAAAAAAUUAGAGUGUUCAAAGCAGGCUUUCGCUUGAAUACAUUAGCAUGGAAUAAUAAGAUAGGACUUUGGUGCUAUUUUGUUGGUUGAGCCUAAAGUAAUGAUUAAUAGGGAUAGUUGGGGGCACCUGUAUUGCGUUGUCAGAGGUGAAAUUCUUGGAUUUACGCAAGACAAACAGCUGCGAAANCGNNNGCCAAGGAUGCUUUCAUNAA
rnacentral:rRNA from 1 species